rnacentral:miRNA from 1 species
UGCAUAGAUCAAAUAUGAAAGUUUUUAAAAAAUUUGAAAAUCAUUUGAUACUCCGUUUCAUUAAUUCAAAUCAAUAUAUAAAAUAAUUUUAUGAUUAUCUGUCAAUUUGAAUUAAUGAAAUGAAGUAUCAAAUGAUUUUCAAAUUUUCUAAAAAUUUCCAGAUUUAAUCUAUGCA